CACUGUGAAGAGGGGAUUCCCCUCCCUAUAAGUCUGCGUGCACGCCAUGGUAUAUAUACGUAUGCAACGCCAGCAUCGCGCAAAUCGUGAGAGUUGUGGAAGAGUUCGGAAGAGUUUGGAAGAGGUGAACGCAGCUGCCUACACGUUUUUAACGGGCGCACUUCAGGAUACCAUGGCGCAGGCGGAAAAAGCGACCUGGAUAAUCGCAGCAACCAAAUGAAUCCAAACAACCCCAAA